CUCGGAGUUUGAUCCUGGCUCAGAUUGAAACGCUGGCGGAAUGCUUUACACAUGCAAGUCGAACGGUAGAGGGGGCAACCCCUUGAGAGUGGCGAACGGGUGAGUAAUAUAUCGGAACGUGCCCAGUCGUGGGGGAUAACGUAGCGAAAGUUACGCUAAUACCGCAUACGAUCUAAGGAUGAAAGCGGGGAUCGCAAGACCUCGCGCGAUUGGAGCGGCCGAUAUCAGAUUAGGUAGUUGGUAGGGUAAAGGCCUACCAAGCCAACGAUCUGUAGCUGGUCUGAGAGGACGACCAGCCACACUGGCACU
rnacentral:rRNA from 1 species